rnacentral:rRNA from 1 species
GACGAACGCUGGCGGCGUGCUUAACACAUGCAAGUCGAACGGCAAGGCCCUGCUUUUGUGGGGUGCUCGAGUGGCGAACGGGGGAGUAACACGUGAGUAACCUGCCCUUGACUUUGGGGUAACUUCAGGAGGCUGGGGCUAAUACCGGAUAGGAGCUCAUGCUGCAGGGUGGGGGUUGGAAAGUUUCGGCGGUUGGGGAUGGACUCGCGGCUUAUCAGCUUUUUGGUGGGGUAGUGGCUUACCAAGGCUUUGACGGGUAGCCGGCAUGAGAGGGUGACCGGCCACAUUGGGCCUGAGAUACGGCCCAGACUCCUACGGGAGGCAGCAGUGGGGAAUAUUGCACAAUGGGCGGAAGCCUGAUGCGGCAACGCCGCGUGCGGGAUGACGGCCUUCGGGGUGUAAACUGCUUUCGCCUGUGACGAAGCGUGAGUGACGGUAAUGGGUAAAUAAGCACCGGCUAACUACGUG